rnacentral:lncRNA from 1 species
CUACCGUUCGCACCUCCUUCGCCGCCACCCGCUCUCGGUCUUCCACUGCCACCAGCCGCUCUCGUAGCUCCGCUCGCCGCCACUUCCGUCCUCUUUCGUAGACGACGCUGCCCGGCGCCCCGUGUCCAGCGCCUCCGCCUUGCGUCAACUGCUCCUCUCGGCGAACGCCUGCGACCGCCGCGUGACGGCCUGACGGCAGACAGCCGCGACAGCGCAGCAGGACCUGCAGAAGACUCGCGAGCGCCCAGCCGCCGUAGCUGCGCCACCGCGAGGCCAUCGCCAGCCAGGGCUGCUUCCACUCCUGCAGGCCACACACCGCCGCCAACAUUUCCUUCACCAGCUUCAAGCAGUCCUUCACCUCCAAUGUCAACUACCUGAAACGGAGGUUCUCGUCCGGCGACCUGUCGUCUGAGUUGGACGACGCGCCGGACGAGCGGAAGCCGCUGCCGCCGACGCACGAGGGCGUGCCGCUGGGGCUGUCGAGCG